GCCUCCUAAAGAGUAACGGAGGCGCCCAAAGGUUCCCUCAGAAUGGUUGGAAAUCAUUCGCAGAGUGUAAAGGCACAAGGGAGCUUGACUGCGAGACCUACAAGUCGAGCAGGGACGAAAGUCGGGCUUAGUGAUCCGGUGGUUCCGCAUGGAAGGGCCAUCGCUCAAC
rnacentral:ncRNA from 1 species